rnacentral:lncRNA from 10 species
AAUGAACUGAGGUCAGCCAACAGUCAAAUGGGAACUGAGGCUCUCAGUCCAAUAAUCUUCGAGGAAGUAAGUUUUCCAACACCUAUGUAAGUGAGCUUGAAAGUAGAUAUUUCCCCAGUUGAGUUUUCUGAUGAAAUUGGAAUUUUGUGCCAAUCAAGAACUCUUCGUACUCCAACGUUUAAGAAGAAAAAGUUUUAACAGCUAGGAGGAGAGAAACAGUGUGAUGUGAUGAGUGAAGCAGAGCC